rnacentral:rRNA from 1 species
AAUCAGCGCUGGCGGCGUGCCUAACACAUGCAAGUCGAACGCGAAAGCCCCGCAAGGGGUCAGUAGAGUGGCAAACGGGUGAGUAACACGUGGGUGACCUGCCUUCGAGUGGGGAUAACGUCCCGAAAGGGACGCUAAUACCGCAUCACAUGCUGCCUUUGAAGAGGUGGACAUCAAAGCUGGGGAUCGCAAGACCUAGCGCUGGAAGAGGGGCCCGCGCCNGAUUAGCUAGUUGGUGGGGUAAUGGCUCACCAAGGCUACGAUCAGUAUCCGGCCUGAGAGGGCGGACGGACACACUGGGACUGAGACACGGCCCAGACUCCUACGGGAGGCAGCAGUGGGAAUUGUUCGCAAUGGGCGCAAGCCUGACGACGCAACGCCGCGUGGAGGAUGAAG